CGAAAAAAGUGUCGCUGUCUAACUACUGAAACCGGGAGGAGGGAACUUGUGACGCUAGUGUACCAACAAAAAACCACAAAAAAGAAGAGGGAAAAAAAGAGAAAACUACCACGGCGUGACGUCAGACGCCGAAAAGGUGGCCGCGUGCAUCAGCUCCUAUUAUAAGAACGCAGCAAGGAUGGCGUGUUCGACCGGGUCCAGAUUGGUGGCCCGUCCAGAAUGGAACAACCUGCUUCCUGCUCACAGGGACCUGGUUUGACCCGCCAUAUACAAAAGCCUGAGGCUGUCAAAAAAAGAUUGAUCUUCAUGAAGAUCGUCAAAUAGUAGGCGUCAUGAUUUAAUUCUGGGUGGCCGCUGUGUCCCCACUCUUUCUUGGCCGCUGUGCCUACAUCUAUCUACAUUGUCCAACAUGGCCACGUUCUUUCUAUUCUCCUGCUUUCCAUCAGUCAAAUAGCUGAGGGUUGUACAUGGAGCAUUUGCCACAGGUUGGUUUUGUAUGUUCCUGUCCACUUUAUUGGGUGGUCUGAAAUCUGGUCCUUGUUAGUUAUAUUUUUGUGGAACUGCUGAGCAAGUGAUUUGAAAGAAUGAGGUGACUGAUGGAGUGUUUGAAAUUCUCUCUGAAUGAAUGGGUUUUCCAUCGUGGCCAUUAAUCUACCGUUAGCCCUAGGACGUUAAAAUAGAUCCUGGUGAUCUACAAACACAGUACCUGGCUUUGGAUGGCAGCUGUGCCAUUGCCUUUGUAUGGCCAUACGUUCCUUAAUGCAAGUAAGCCAUGAUGGCUAACUGUGCCCGCGCCUUCAUAGCCUACUUGUGUUAUUGUACGUCUGGCCUUGCGCGUAUAGUAAUUUUACAUAGGCAAACAUGGGUGCCUUCCGCGUCCAUGCACAGUAAGUGAACUAACCUGUACUUUUCUUUUAGCAUCAGUCAAGAGGAGCACCGACAUCACUGCAUGUCCAUCUUAAUUAGAUUGCGUUUUAGUUUCGGUAAAAUUCAAAUGUUAAGUGCAGUUUUUCUCUCUUGCUUGGCCGCCGUGCCAUUACUAUACCUGCUCUGACCUGAAUCUUGAUUCUUCAUGGCCACUGUGUCAUGACUGUACUCGGUCUUGGUGCUUAUGCCAGUCUAUCAUUUCUGAUCUGUUUUUCCUACAAAGUUUUCCUGGUUGAGUGUGUGUGUGUGUAUGUGUGAUGACUGACGUUAAUCAGACCAAGACUAACACUCCAAUUGACUUUACUGCACCAGAAAGGCGCACAAAAUUUAUGCUGCAACACUGGUAAGAUGCACACCAAUUAGACAACAAGCAAAUUCAAAUUCUUUCAAAAACAGGUAACCUGUUUACCAGGUAACAGGUACCUUUCUGGUAAGUAUUAAAGGCCUUUGCCACAUGAUCUUUGUGGGUAAAUUGUGUCCACUCAAUGUAUAAAGUUAAUUUGCAUCUCAACAUUUACAAUGCCUGACAAAAUGGCAUUACAAUAAUCUAAUUUUUUUGUUUUGCGUUACUGAGUGCAAAGGCCUUUAUUUACACACUGCUGUCAUGGCAUGUGUCACUGUCUCUCUCGCUGUUCUGUCUGUCUCUCUCACGCUGGUCUGUCUGUCCUGUGUGUCUUUUUGUCUGUCUGGUCUCUGUGUGUCUGUCUGGUCUCUGUGUGUAUGUCUUAUGUGUCUGGUCUCUGUGUUUCUGUCCUGUGUGUCUGGUCUCUGUCUGUCUGUCCUGUGUGUCAGAUUUAGUCACUUUUUUAGGCUCAACUUAAAUGGAUGAUUUUAAAGUUGGUUAGUCUUGAGGGGUCUGAUUUCUGCAGGAAAUUCUGGUACCUUAUUUUGAAAUGGCUUUAAUUUAAAAAUUUCAUUUUGGUCUUGAAUCUCAGUUAUCAUAGUUGCAACUUGGACUGUUGACAAACGUGGAAGCUAAUGAAUCAUGUAGUAAAUGCAUCAACGUUUACUGUAGGUUGUCUAAAGUUCUUUCAAAGUGCUGCUAUACCAGGUCUUCCUUUAUUCUCAACUGGUAAUUGCUUUGAUAAGAUAACUGGUUCCUGCUUUGAUUAUGGCGCUAAACUUUUGAUUUAUAUGCAAGUGUAGUCACAUUAGAUUGUAGUUGUUAUUCAGCCCAUGGAUAAUGUUAUGAUAUACUUUAAAUCUGGCAUUUGUUAGCACACUUUGGAUAUCCAUUUAAGUCUUAAAAUUUACACACUGCCAUCAGCCUUUUGUAGUCGCUAACUCAAAUUCAAUAUUAAUGCUGACUUGUCUCACUCUGCCAAGUUUAUUUCCCUCUAAAGGAGUUGAACCUUUGUGUUCAUAGUCUUUUUGCGCGUCAUGUUGGGAGGCCUCCCAGCAGGGGAUUUUUAUCUUCCCCUGCAAAACUAUGCGUUACUCGCCUUAGGCAUGCAGGGCUAUCCUGCAUAGUUUCUUUCAAAAAUUAGAUUGUAGGUUGCAGGAUUAGAGCGCGUUUCUUUUCUUUAGGAGGACACAAACCUGGCAGAGACAGCUAUUUAAGUGAAAGUUGCGCCAAAUGUUUGAACUUUUUAUGUUUCGAUACGGCUUGAAAUAAAACCUUUAUUCUGUGAGCCAAAUUCAGACAGCAUGUUAAAGACUGUUGUGCAAGUACCCUCUUAUAGCAGGAGUGAGCAGCUGCAGCUUUUAAUUUAUUUUUUGUUAUUUGAUUUGUUUCCUGGAUUGACUUGGUGUCUGGAGCUUUGUGGUUAACAGUGAUCAUGUAAACGUGUAAACUCAAGUGGUCUUUUGCCUCUUAUUGGCGAAGCUGGCAGCUGGUUGAAAUGAUAGGACUUUAUGGCUUGCCCAAAGUGGGAUUUUUGAUAGAGCAUAGUGUUAACACCUCACCAUACACUAGCUAUUUCAGCGAACAAGUGUCUGGAGUCAGUUAUUACCCAUGACUUUCUUUUAAAUUUCACAAUUUAGGCAGCUUGUAGAGUCAUUAGUAAGAUGCUUAAUCCCAAUGUCUUGGUUGGUUGCAUGAGAAACUGCUAUCUCUUAGAUGUGUUGGCGAAGUUCCUCCUCUGAUUUUUGUAGACUUGCCCUAAAGUUUCUCUCCGCUUUAACUCUUGUUGAGCUGUGCAUUAAAUGAUUCCUCCAACUUGUCUCCAUAUCAAUUUUUUUCUCCCUGCAGCCUUCCACCACCCACUGCUGCUGUUGCAUCUGCUAAAGGUAGCCGUAUCCUGAUUCACUGCAUCUUCAUGUGUUUGGUUAGAAGUUUCAUUAGACUACUAACAAUGUAAACACCUUUUAAAUGCUUGAUCUAAUUUACCCAAAUGGUUCAUCAGUUUAGGACAAAAGAAUCUUUGAGUUUGACAUUCUUGGGGUCAGUAACCUGACCUCUAAAUGUUUGGGAAACCAUGCAAAAGAUCGCAAGCUCUCUGCAUGACCCAACAGCAUCGAUGUUUGAGUUAUUUAAUUGCUCAAUUUUUAAAUCAGUCAAGAUUUUAUGAGCUGGGUCUUCUUCGCACAACAGAGAACAAGGUAAAUUGAGUCGACUCGUAACAUGGUAAGGCAUUUCGUCUUUCCCCUUCUUCUCUGUGUGUGUGAGGAAAUCUGGCCACGGAUCCUGACUGAGUGGCAUACCAUGGCUGUGCAGUUUCUAAAAUCAGACAAGGAUCCAUCUGAUUUUGUGACUCGGCCUGUCGUGAUAUGCAUUUAUCUGCCUCCGAAACAAAGGAUUGGAAUUGACAGGUUUGUAGUGUAAAUCACAUCACUUGCAGAUUGUGAAGCAUUUGUUUAAAUUGGGGUCAAGCAUUUUCAGGUGUCUGCUUUGUCAAUACUCUGGUGCCACGUCUUGCUAAACACACGAGAAGCUCUUAAUUGUGAAACUGCUGU